rnacentral:sRNA from 1 species
ACUGCUGCUAAUCUAUCGCCGCUGCUAAGCUAUCCCUCGCUGCUAAGCUAUCGCUGCCAACCUAUCUAUCGCUGCCAACCUAUCUAUCGCUGCCAAUUUAUCUACCACUGCCAAUCUAUCUAUUGCUGCUAAUCUAUCGCUGCUGUCAAUCUAUCCCUCGCUGCUAAGCUAUCCCUCGCUGCUAAGCUAUCCCUCGCUGCUAAGCUAUCCCUCGCUGCUAAGCUAUCGCUGCCAACCUAUCUAUCGCUGCCAACCUAUCUAUCGCUGCCAAUUUAUCUACCACUGCCAAUCUAUCUAUUGCUGCUAAUCUAUCGCUGCUGUCAAUCUAUCCCUCGCUGCUAAGCUAUCCCUCGCUGCUAAGCUAUCCCUCGCUGCUAAGCUAUCCCUCGCUGCUAAGCUAUCCCUCGCUGCUAAGCUAUCCCUCGCUGCUAAGCUAUCGCUGCCAACCUAUCUAUCGCUGCCAACCUAUCUAUCGCUGCCAAUUUAUCUACCACUGCCAAUCUAUCUAUUGCUGCUAAUCUAUCGCCGCUGCCAAGCUAUCCCUCGCUGCUAAGCUAUCCCUCACUGCUAAGCUAUCUCUCGCUGCUAAGCUAUCCCUCACUGCUAAGCUAUCCCUCGCUGCUAAGCUAUCCCUCACUACUAAGCUAUCUAUCACUGCUAAUCUAUCGCUGCCAACCUAUCUAUCACUGCCAAUCUAUCUAUCGCUGCUAAUCUAUCGCUGCUAAUCUAUCGCUGCUAAUCUAUCGCUGCUAAUCUAUCGCUGCCAACCUAUCUACCGCGGCGAAUCUAUCUAUCACUAUCAUUACUAGUUCAAAAUAGAACUAGAGCAUAAAUACACUAAACUUCUUUUGAUAGGUAAUGAUUUUUGGUAACACUCAUAGCAUUAUAUCAUCUAUAUAGGGUAAAUCAUGGUCCCAUUUGAUCCCAUUUUAACAAAAUGGGACCAAAUGGGACCAGAAUCAGUAAUUUAUAAGAAGAACAUGAUCUGGGACUAGAUUUAUAAUAUAAACAGUGUAAAGUGACUAAUUUAAUAAACACUAUAUGGGACCAGAACUAAGAAAUUUGAUAAUGGAACUGAAGAAAUAUUUAGUCCCAGUUCCAUGCAUGGUCACACAGCC